rnacentral:rRNA from 1 species
UCCCAGACUCCUACGGGAGGCAGCAGUGGGGAAUAUUGCACAAUGGGGGAAACCCUGAUGCAGCGACGCCGCGUGAGUGAAGAAGUAUUUCGGUAUGUAAAGCUCUAUCAGCAGGGAAGAAAAUGACGGUACCUGAUUAAGAAGCCCCGGCUAACUACGUGCCAGCAGCCGCGGUAAUACGUAGGGGGCAAGCGUUAUCCGGAUUUAUUGGGUUUAAAGGGUGCGUAGGCGGGUUAUCAAGUCAGCGGUAAAAUCGUGGAGCUCAACUCCAUCCAGCCGUUGAAACUGAUGAUCUUGAGUGGGCGAGAAGUAUGCGGAAUGCGUGGUGUAGCGGUGAAAUGCAUAGAUAUCACGCAGAACUCCGAUUGCGAAGGCAGCAUACCGGCGCCCGACUGACGCUGAAGCACGAAAGCGUGGGUAUCGAACAGGAUUAGAUACCCCUGUAU